GACUUUCAGUAGAAAAAUAUGUUAUCGGGAAUCUUAUUCUGAUAAGUGUGAACAUUUUGUCAAAUAGGAAUUUUCUUAAAGUUGAUUUUUUUAAAAUGAGUUUUAUGUUCUAAAAUACUCUCUCUGAUUGCUUUUAGGUUACCUUGGGUAUGAAUUAAUACAGACUUGGAAACUGAAAGAACUUAGAAUCAGCAUUUUGAGAGCAGAAGCUUGGGCAUGCUGUGAUUUUCCAAUACACUGCUAUCACAAUGUCAAAAUGCAGUUCAGACAACAGCAACACAGAGAUCUCAAACAUUAAAACGUAAAGCUGUGCUAGAGCAGAAUGCA
rnacentral:lncRNA from 1 species